UUUACGUCUUGCUAUUUGUCACUAGCUUAGUUUUUCUUCCUCGUUAAAAUUCGAUCGCGAUGGCGAGUGCUGUGGCUAGAUUAACGGUUAAAAGUGGCGCUAUAAUCGCCCAGCGAUCCUGUGUGGGCGUGGCAGUUGGCCGAUCGGUCAGAUUUGCCAGCAGUUCGUCGCAAUCCAGCGGAAUUCGGGGCCACAAAUCGCGACGUCUGCUAACUUUUGUGGGCGGCAGUGCCGUUUCUUUGGCCGCCUUGGCGGCUUUCAUUAAGUUGCGAUCCGCGGAAAACCCAGUGAAUGCAGUUAGCCUUAAAAGACGCAUGCGCGACGAUAGCGAGCUGGAGAAUGUGAAGCUCACGGCCCGGGAACGCCGGUUCAUUAAGUUUGCCUCCGUGGAGUUCGACGAUCAGCUCUACAUGACCCCGCAGGACUUUCUGGACUCUGUGGUGGAGCAGGAACCCAGACCUCGUCUUAAACGUCGCCAGCUCUCCAGCGAUGAGGUGGACAAAUACAAGGAAAACACACCUGCUUUGAAGAAGGGUUCAACACGUCUAUUUCGCAAUCUAAGAGACAAAGGCAUUAUCUCCUACACGGAAUAUUUAUUUUUGCUCUCUAUUCUAACAAAGCCCAAAUCUGGCUUCCGCAUUGCCUUUAACAUGUUCGACACCGAUGGAAAUCAGCGGGUGGACAAGGACGAGUUUCUAGUGAUAAUUUCCAUUUUGGCCGGCGCUUUGAAAGACACUCAAAAUGUCGAUCCACAAACCAAGCAAAUUCUAUCGCGUUUAGUUUCCUACGAUGAGCAAAGUCAAAUGAUGAAACCCAUGGCAGUGCCUCAAGCGAAGAGGGGUCUAAUGGAGCGCAUUUUCAGCGGUGCUUGGAAGGAGAAGCACGGCGGACAAGAGUCGGAGGAGGAGCUCGAGUCCUCCACGCCCACUCCCCUGGAGGGCUAUGUAAACGAUGGCGAGGGACUGCAGCGACGUCAUAUGGUGGCCACCACCCUGCAGCUGCACUUCUUUGGGAAACGGGGCACUGGGGUGAUCAACUAUGACAACUUCUACCGCUUCAUGGACAACCUGCAGACGGAGGUGCUCGAACUGGAGUUCCACGAGUUCUCCAAGGGCAACAGUGUCAUAAGCGAACUGGACUUUGCUAAAAUCCUGCUGCGGUACACAUACCUGGCCACGGAUGAGUAUGAUGUCUUCCUGGAGCGCCUGCUCGAGCGGGUCAAGGAUGAGAAGGGCAUAUCCUUCCAUGACUUCCGGGACUUUUGCCAUUUCCUAAACAAUUUAGAUGAUUUUACGAUCGCCAUGAGGAUGUAUACCCUAGCCGAUCGGGCCAUUUCAAAAGAUGAAUUCUCGCGCGCUGUGAAGAUCUGCACCGGCUAUAGUCUCAGUCCCCACUUGAUCGACACCGUGUUUGCCAUCUUCGAUGCGGAUGGCGAUGGCCUGUUGUCCUACAAGGAGUUCAUAGCCAUCAUGAAGGAUCGCCUGCAUCGCGGCUUUAAAGUAAGUGGUCGUUUCUUUGAUUACAACGAAGCUCUGGACGCCUACGAUGAACCCGAUUAUCCCCUGUUUGUGGCCUGGCGACAUCGGGUGUGCCGGCACCUGGACUACUUCAUCGACAGCGAUGCACUUUGGCACUGAUUUUUUAGUUUAAUUUAAUUUAAUUAGCGACUUACCUCGUUUCGUUUGCCGCUUUUGUCCUAAUCUCGCUGACCAGCAUUGAAUGUGUGUGUUUGUCUAGUUAUUGUCUCGCCUGUAAGCGUUUUAUGCUUUAAGCCUAAUGAUUUAAUUUUCUUAAUUUUAGUUUAUUAUUUUAGAUAUUAACCCAGCUCAAUGACAUUUAUUUUACAUAUUAUUAAUUUUAGUUUUAUGUUGAAUUGGCCAUAUAACCAUUAAACACUGAUAUUGACACAGAAUUGGUUUUUUAUUUGUUGCACAUUUGUCCUUGAAAAACAUUUUUGAAAUGCAGAGGACAAACCUUUAAACUGUUUUAAAUUUUCUUUCGUACCUACAAAUUAUUGUUUAUUUUAAAAACUGCUCAUUAUCAUUUCCAUAUCAUCGAAUCGCUUGUCGAAGGUCUGUCAUUUGUGACUCACUACUCGUCUAACAAUGAACUGCGAUUAUAUUGUCCAGGUUAAAAGUCCAAGCGCCAGCUGAUUAGCAAUGAGUUGUAUUUUCUUUCCCUAGCAAGAUGUUGUAGACCCCGACGAGCGUCUAAAGGUCACCAUUGAGGCAGUCUCGCCAAAAGGUGAAGAGUCCGUGGCCAAAUCGGAGGGCUGGGAUGCCUUCAAGUACUGUGUACGCAACGAGAUGAAAACCAUGAUGAAGUCGGCCAAUUAAAUCGGGCACCAUAGCAGCAUCGCACAAACAACGAGAAAACAACGCCAAAGUGAAACAAAUGCUAGUUAAAAAAUUUUUCUUCUAAAGAACCAAAAUCUCGUGUAUAGUAAUAGUUUUCAUAUUUGUUGAACCCUUGAACUAUUUAUGAAUUUGUUAUUGAACUAAGCUCCCAUCUCCUAUAGCCAAAAUUAUGAGAAAUUGUUUACAAUUGGCAGUUAAGUCAAUUAACCAUCUUGUUAUACAUGUAUAGCGAAAAUAAAAUUGUUUUGUAAAAUUCGUA